UACAGAGGGUGCAAGCGUUAAUCGGACUUACUGGGCGUAAAGGGCGCGUAGGCGGAUGCGUAAGUCAGAUGUGAAAGGCCAUGGCUUAACCAUGGAAUGUCAUUUGAGACUGCGUGUCUAGAGUCGAAGAGAGGGGAGCGGAAUUUCCGGUGUAGCGGUGAAAUGCGUAGAUAUCGGAAGGAACACCCGUAGCGAAGGCGGCUUCCUGGAUUCAGACUGACGCUGAGGCGCGAAAGCGUGGGUAGCGAACAGG
rnacentral:rRNA from 1 species